GACGUAUUAUGGUAUACAAAUGUCCGCCUGUCCGUUUGUCCAUCUGUCUGUCCGGCGUAAACAUGUCGCAUCGUAACUUGAGAACGACUCAUCCAAAUUUCAUGAAACUUAAACUUAUAGUUGUUUUUUAUGAUAAUCAAAAGAUCUGUAUACUUUUUGAUGACAAUAAGAUUAAAACUUUUUGAGUUACGGGACUUUGUAACUAAAACAGGGGUGUUAUUUUU
rnacentral:lncRNA from 1 species